rnacentral:rRNA from 1 species
UACAGAGGUCUCAAGCGUUGUUCGGAUUCAUUGGGCGUAAAGGGUGCGUAGGUGGCGCUGUAAGUCGGGUGUGAAAUUUCGGAGCUUAACUCCGAAACUGCAUUCGAUACUGCCGUGCUUGAGGACUGGAGAGGAGACUGGAAUUCAUGGUGUAGCAGUGAAAUGCGUAGAGAUCAUGAGGAAGACCAGUGGCGAAGGCGGGUCUCUGGACAGUUCCUGACACUGAGGCACGAAGGCCAGGGGAGCAAACGGGG